UACGGAGGAGGCAAGCGUUAUCCGGAAUGAUUGGGCGUAAAGCGUCCGUAGGUGGUUUUUCCAGUCGGCUGUUAAAGAGCAAAGCUCAACUUUGUAAAGGCAGUGGAAACUGAAAGACUAGAGAGCCGUAGGGGUAGAGGGAAUUCCCGGUGUAGCGGUGAAAUGCGUAGAGAUCGGGAGGAACACCGGCGGCGAAGGCGGCGUCCUGGACCUGGCCUGACGCUCAGGAGCGAAAGCGUGGGGAGCGAUCCGG
rnacentral:rRNA from 1 species